UGAGGGUGAGAUGCGAGACGGACUGCUUCCGCCUACGCUCUGCCGGCGAGAAAAAAAAAAGAACGAGAGAAACGAAAAGGAGAGAGAAAGAGGAAAGAGAAAAAGUAAAAAGGAUAUUUUGGUCAGUUUGCUGAAAAAGCGGACCGAAUCUGCAAAAAUGAAAAAGAUGGCCCGAUUUUGCAAAAGCCGAAAAUAAGUGGAUUUUUUAUGCAAAUUGGCCUUCAAAAUUUUACAAGUUCUUUUAAAACUUACUUUUUAAAAAAAAAGUAGCAAAAAAUUUAAUAUUGUUAAAAAAUAAAAUUCAUAAGGCUAGUUGUCGCC
rnacentral:lncRNA from 1 species